rnacentral:rRNA from 1 species
GAUGAACGCUGGCGGCGUGCCUAAUACAUGCAAGUCGAGCGAACGGACGAGAAGCUUGCUUCUCUGAUGUUAGCGGCGGACGGGUGAGUAACACGUGGAUAACCUACCUAUAAGACUGGGAUAACUUCGGGAAACCGGAGCUAAUACCGGGUAAUAUUUUGAACCGCAUGGUUCAAAAGUGAAAGACGGUCUUGCUGUCACUUAUCGAUGGAUCCGCGCUGCAUUAGCUAGUUGGUAAGGUAACGGCUUAACAAGGCAACGAUGCAUAGCCGACCUGAGAGGGUGAGCGGCCACACUGGAACUGAGACACGGUCCAGACUCCUACGGGAGGCAGCAGUAGGGAAUCUUCCGCAAUGGGCGAAAGCCUGACGGAGCAACGCCGCGUGAGUGAUGAAGGUCUUCGGAUCGUAAAACUCUGUUAUUAGGGAAGAACAUAUGUGUAAGUAACUGUGCACAUCUUGACGGUACCUAAUCAGAAAGCCACGGCUAACUACGUG